rnacentral:snRNA from 1 species
GGACGUGAGGCAGAUCUGGCUGCAACAUCUGUCACCCCACUGACGGCCAGGGUUGAUUCCGCGGCUGGCGAGGCGGUGUCCCCUUCCUCCCUCACUGCCCAGUGCGAGGCCCUCCGGGAGCUUAGCGCUCACGCUCAGCUCCGCGGGAGAGCACGACCACCCUCCGCAGAGGAGGUCUGGGUCCUCGUCAGUGU